CAGCCGCCACGGUAAUACGAAGGGGGCUAGCGUUGCUCGGAAUGACUGGGCGUAAAGGGCGCGUAGGCGGAUGGCACAGUCAGAUGUGAAAUUCCCGGGCUUAACCUGGGGGCUGCAUUUGAUACGUGUUGUCUAGAGUGAGGAAGAGGGUCGUGGAAUUCCCAGUGUAGAGGUGAAAUUCGUAGAUAUUGGGAAGAACACCGGUGGCGAAGGCGGCGACCUGGUCCUUUACUGACGCUGAGGCGCGAAAGCGUGGGGAGCAAACAGGAUUAGAGACCCCAGUAGUCCCUGUCUCUUAUAC
rnacentral:rRNA from 1 species